rnacentral:rRNA from 1 species
CACGUAGGGACCAAGCGUUGUCCGGAUUUAUUGGGCGUAAAGAGCUCGUAGGCGGCUUGGUAAGUCGGGUGUGAAACCUCCAGGCUCAACCUGGUGACGCCACCCGAUACUGCCAUAGCUUGAGUUCGGUAGGGGAGCGGGGAAUUCCUGGUGUAGCGGUGAAAUGCGCAGAUAUCAGGAAGAACACCCGUGGCGAAAGCGGCUCUCUGGGACGGUACUGACGCUGAGACGCGAAAGCGUGGGGAGCGAACAGG